rnacentral:rRNA from 1 species
AUUGAACGCUGGCGGCAUGCUUUACACAUGCAAGUCGAACGGUAACAGGCCGCAAGGUGCUGACGAGUGGCGAACGGGUGAGUAAUGCAUCGGAACGUGCCCAGUCGUGGGGGAUAACGCAGCGAAAGCUGUGCUAAUACCGCAUACGAUCUGUGGAUGAAAGCGGGGGACCGUAAGGCCUCGCGCGAUUGGAGCGGCCGAUGUCAGAUUAGGUAGUUGGUGGGGUAAAGGCCUACCAAGCCGACGAUCUGUAGCUGGUCUGAGAGGACGACCAGCCACACUGGGACUGCGACACGGCCCAGACUCCUACGGGAGGCAGCAGUGGGGAAUUUUGGACAAUGGGCGCAAGCCUGAUCCAGCAAUGCCGCGUGCAGGAAGAAGGCCUUCGGGUUGUAAACUGCUUUUGUACGGAACGAAACGGUCUGGGUUAAUACCCUGGGCUAAUGACGGUACCGUAAGGAAAAGCACCGGCUAACUACGUGCCAGCCGCCGCAGUAAUAC